GGGCCUGUAGCUCAGCGGUUAGUAGCAGUCGACUCAUAAUCGAUUGGUCGCCGGUUCAAAUCCGGCCGGGCCCACCA
rnacentral:tRNA from 2 species